CAAUGCUUCAGUGGACUGGAACUCUUUAGAGUAUAUGACUGCACCUCAUGAGGUACACUGAACUAGAACUGCCCAGGUCCACAUUUGCUGAAAUGUAACUCUUAUCUCAUGCACUGGGAGUGAUGAACUUCACUAGGAAAUCAUCGUUCUUUCUGGAAUUAGACGAUAUAAGCUGCAGCUCAGAAUCAGAGGAUUUUGCUCUAUUGCCUAAGCUGGAGUGCAAUGACAUAUGAUUGCUUACUGCAGCCUCCAACUCCUGAGCUUAAGCAAUCCUACCACCUAACCCUCCUAAGUAGCUGGGACUACAGG
rnacentral:lncRNA from 10 species